GUUGUGUUUUUUUUCUCUUAAUUUUCCUUUAAAAUAUUCAUCAAGCACUCCUCACAGUGUUCAGCAACAUACCACUCACUACGUUAUAUCAAGCCCUGCUUCGUAGAAUCUGGGAAGCUGAUCCAGUUCCAAGAGUUUUGUCAAAUUAUGAGAUAGAAGGUCUUUGACUUCUGCUUUCUCCUUUCCCACAGACCAGACCCACACCCAACUAGCAGUGCAGUGCAGACCACAGUAGACUCGAAGUGGUGCUUCCUCCCCCGACCCCCGACCCCCAUCCAUUGUCAAAGCCAUCCAAUAAUGUCCUGUGAGCGAGGGACUCUUUGGCCCGUGUUUAAGGCUUGGGGAAAUUAGAAACAAGAAAAAUGAAUGCAAAAAGCCAUGGGAGGCAUUGGUUUCCUUUGGGCUAGUUAAACAUGGUGGCAAGGGAUUGCUAUUGUAUGAGCUUUGCCAAGAAAUACAAAAGACUCAGCCAUCACCCCAUCCUUCUCGAAGAAGGUUUUAUAGUAUUAAUGAUACAAGUGAUAUUUUCCCAUGGAGUUUUCCUUAGGAUACAUUUCAUAAAUUAUACACAUGAGACAUUUUAGCAUUAGAUCUCAUGUGUUUGCCAAAGGUACUGGCUUCUCCCUGGCUUGGAGUCCAUCCUCUUGUCUUGCAUCAGCAACGCAGAGGGGCUCCUCGGUGAUGGCUUCUAGAAUACAUAUGCCUGUGUCUUUAUUGUUGUGCACAGGCUUAACAUUUGCAAAAUUGAGAAUUCGGCAAAGCUCCAGGGGAACUAAGCGGUCUUGUGAUUGUAUGCAGGCAGUCAGAGGCCUUUAAUGGCUCAUUGUCGGCUUCACUUGUGAACACAUACACCCUCCCGACUAGGAAAAGGGUGUUUCCAGGUGAGGUACCAAUGGCUUGGAAAGGCAGAAAUGGAAGGUUAGAGCUUGGCUGGUCCUUGUGCACCUGCCUACCUCCCUGUCCAAAGGCUGACCUUGGUACCCGCCCCCCCCCCAUUCCCCUUCUCUCACCCCAAAAGAGGUACCAAAUCUGAGACCCGAGCUCUCCUUCAAUCCCAGUCCUCUACAGCUCCA
rnacentral:lncRNA from 1 species